rnacentral:snRNA from 1 species
GGAUGUGAGGGCUACCUGGCUGCGACAUCUGUCACCCCAUUGAUCGCCAGAGUUGAUUCAGCUAAUCUGGCUGGCUAGGCAGGUGUCCCCUUCCUCCCUCACUGCUCCAUGUCUGCCCCUCCCAAAACUGUGCGCUCAGUUGAAGAGGACAGCCUUCCCUGAAUAGAGAUGGACUAGUCUCCCUGCUAGAAUCUCCGAACA